rnacentral:lncRNA from 1 species
CCUGGGAAAGGAGGCUCUCCGGGCUGAAAACUGAGCUAGCGUGCAAGAAUGGGCUUGGGAGGAGUUCUGCUUCCAGUCUAUCUCUGGUGCCCCCUGCUGGAAAAAGCUGGGUGCAGGAAACAGGGACACUUGCACGCGGGGAAUCUGGCUGGGGCUGUAGGUCUCAAACCGGACAUCUGAGGCGUGAGAUGAAUUCAUAUCAAAGCCGACCCUGGAGGGACGAGGAAGAGCCAGUCAUCUAAAAAGCUCCAGCUGUGGGACCUCGAAGAGCGCUUCGUAAAGGGCUUCUUCUCUGCCCGGCACCCCAAGGAAGCUGGGGAGAGGUCUUUGCUGUGGAUGAGGCAGGGGGCGAGGAGGAGGAGGUUCAGAGACCUUUUGCUCAUGCCCUCUCUGCCUGCGCUGCCUCCGUCAUGCUCCCCUCGGGGCCAUCUCCUGGUUUCCUUCGGGUCAGAGAAAUUGCACACAGAGCAGAAGGAUCUGAUCUGACUGUUGGCUCAUCUGCACUGCCGGCCCCCGAGCCUCGUCCCAUUUCAGUGACAAGGCAAGUGUGAAAAAUGGAGCAUGAUGGAGGCGUCACCAGACCUCCCAGGCUCUCGACUGGAGCCGCAGCUCUCAAUGCAGCUGGAAUUGCCAGG